rnacentral:rRNA from 1 species
AUUGAACGCUGGCGGCAGGCCUAACACAUGCAAGUCGAGCGAGCGGCGGACGGGUGAGUAAUGUAUGGGGACUGCCCGAUAGAGGGGGAUAACUACUGGAAACGGUGGCUAAUACCGCAUACUAUCGGAUAACCCAGAUGGGAUUGGCUAGUAUGUGGGGUAAAGGCUCACCUGGGCGACGAACUCUAGCUGGUCUGAGAGGAUGAUCAGCCACACUGGGACGGAGACGCGGCCCAGAUUCCUACGGAGGUAGCAGUGGGGAAUAUUGCACAAUGGGCGCAAGCCUGAUGCAGUCAUGCCGCGUGUAUGAAGAAGGCCUUAGGGUUGUAAAGUACUUUCAGCGGGGAGGCGUUACCCGCAGAAGAAGCACCGGCUAAAUCCGUGCCAGCAGCCGCGGUAAUUC